rnacentral:rRNA from 1 species
GGGGAACGAUAACGGCGUCGAGCGGCGGACGGGUGAGUAAUGCCUAGGAAAUUGCCCUGAUGUGGGGGAUAACCAUUGGAAACGAUGGCUAAUACCGCAUAAUGCCUACGGGCCAAAGAGGGGGACCUUCGGGCCUCUCGCGUCAGGAUAUGCCUAGGUGGGAUUAGCUAGUUGGUGAGGUAAUGGCUCACCAAGGCGACGAUCCCUAGCUGGUCUGAGAGGAUGAUCAGCCACACUGGAACUGAGACACGGUCCAGACUCCUACGGGAGGCAGCAGUGGGGAAUAUUGCACAAUGGGCGCAAGCCUGAUGCAGCCAUGCCGCGUGUGUGAAGAAGGCCUUCGGGUUGUAAAGCACUUUCAGUCGUGAGGAAGGUGGUGUAGUUAAUAGCUGCAUUACUUGACGUUAGCGACAGAAGAAGCACCGGCUAACUCCGUGCCAGCAGCCGCGGUAAUACGGAGGGUGCGAGCGUUAAUCGGAAUUACUGGGCGU